ensembl:lncRNA
CAGAAAAGGCUUCAUUUAGCAGGAGCCAUUUGAGGUGGGAAUAAGGAGGGAAAGGCAUGGCAAGUUCAGGGAGCAGCCAGCAGCAGGUCAGUUUGUCUAGGUCACAGAGUGCAUGAAGAGCAGCAAUGUACAGAACUUAGAAAGGUAGGCUGGAGAUUGUGAUGGGGGACUGUAAAUACCAAAUGAGUUAUAUUUAAUUCCAGAAGCAAUAAAAAGCUGAUGAAGCUCCUUGAGCAGACUUAUAGAACUUAUGCUUUAAGAAUAUCAAUUUGGCAACUGUUUGGGGGGUGGUGGGAAAGAAGGACAUGAGGCCUGGGUUCAGGGAGGAAAGAAAGGUAAUACUGGAGUGUGGACAUUCAAAGUGGGAGAUGGCCACAGGAAUAUUGGAGGGGAGAAAGAAGCUGCCACCUGAAGCAUGGAGCCCAUCCCUGAGGUCUUGCUGUCUCCUCAGAAAAUUUCUGACAGGUAUCCCAGAAUUCAGAAGAUUCUUAAGAGUGAACAAGCCUGCUGCUAUCUCUUGCCAUUUCCUGGGAAAAAAGUAGCAAUUAGCAGCAGUGGAAAUCCAGAAGGUGACUGUCCCUCUAUCCAGAAGUCCCUAUAAUCCCUUCUCAGAGUGUAACUGAUCUUGGCCCCUCCACCAUCCCACUUCCCUUCUAAACUCCAGCCACCCUGCCCCUCCACUACUCAGAUCUCUCAGGAUCACAGAUCUUCUCUUCCUCAGACAUGGAUCCAGAUUUCUCUCGCUAUCUGCAUGACUUCAUCACUGAUGUUUGCAAUUCAACCACCCAGCAUGUGAAAAGGCACUCAGAUGGACAUAUUCUCACUGGGGAGGAAUUAGCUGAGAACAUCAAGACACUCUUCAACCUAUUACAGACAAAAGAAUUUGGAUAUUCAUCCUCGUAUGUGUCGGUAAAGUCCUGGCUAAUAGUCUUGGAAAGGAUGCUAGUCCUGGGUAGAGAACCAGGUCCAGGGAGUCAGAGCAUCUGUCUUCAAGGGAACAUGGGGUUGGGUUAGGAUUAAGUAGUAAGAGGAGGUGGGUGAGAGGCUUGGGACAGAAUUCCAAAACGAAUAGGGUGAAGGAUAACAUGAUAAGGGGUCGUCUUCUCUUUGGACAGGUGGUUACUCUACUCCAAGAUGAGAGGUUGAUUGAAGAUUAUCAACAAGAGUUGGAGGACUUUGUGAAGGAACAGGUGAGCCCUCAGGCUUUUUAUUGUCUCUCUCAUGGAUGAGCUACCCAGAAGGACUACCCUAGGUUCAAGACACUCUGUGGGUUCACAUCCACUCACAACCACUCAUAAAUUCCCACUGAUACUUCUGCUUUUUCCCUAGUUAUCCAGGGUUUACAAUUAAUUCAAAGCAAAGGUGUUUAAUGGAAUAGCAGAGUAGGCAGAUUUGUAAUAGAACAUUUCCUCCAUGAAUGUAGAGUAUUUUAUCCUAUAUACACACACACCACCAUAUGCUCACCUGAGUGAGCAUGUACAUUAUUAUUACCAUACAUGAACUCACCAGGGACAUCAGGGUCCUAGAGCAUCAGAGGUAGUUAGUAGCCCCUCUAUAUUUAUUCAAAGUGAUCCCUGAUAUCCCCUGGUGAUUUCCCCUGGGUUCACUGAGUCAGAGUUCCUCCCUCUGGGCACUCCUUCACUAGGUUUCCAAUCUCCCCUGGCAACCUCAUCUCUUCAGAGCCAGCUCAGCCAUUUCAAGUUAAGUCUACUAGGGUAGUGGUUAAAUCUUCUGCCUCAUAAUGCCUGGCUAUUAGCUCUUUAAUCCUGGUUGUUGACUAGCCACUAUAACCAAGUGACAGAAGCCAAGAGGACUUUUAAAGCUAAAGUUUUAAAAACUAGAUCUUUAUUUUUGAACCCUAUGGAAGGGGAAUCAAAGCUUUCUGUUAAUUAUAAUUAGUAAUUAUAAUUAAUAUCUAGAUUAAUUAUUAGAUAAUUAUCUAGCUUCAGGUUCAGACAAUUUAACACAUUUUCCAAUAUGCUCCCUGGCCUAGCUUCAAAUGAAUUUGAGUCAGAAGCAAAGGCAGGCUAUGGAAACAAAGUCAGAGGUUUCCACCCACCCAGCCUGAAUUCUUGUCUGUAGUUGUAAUGACCAAACUCAGCUUCCACCUUUCACUGAAGACAUUGGGAAGUAUGGGUGUACAAUGUUGCAUAUACUGUCUGAUGAAAUUAAUGUGUGGGGUGCCAGGGGAGGGACAUAUUUGUAAAAAAAUAAAAGGUGAUAUAGAUAGGUAUAGAUAUACA